UGCAUUUUUAUUCUUUUUCAAAGGAUUACAUGGGCUAAGAUAAUCCACAUGGCUUGGCGAAACGACCAUGUGAGUCUUGGAGCAUAAUUUUUUUUAGAUAUCGAAUAAUGACACGAGCUGUGAGCAUACACACAGUUGGGAGACACAACCGUGUGGUCCAACACAAGCCUUUACCCAACAGUGCCCCCUUUUAAAACCAAAACCCUCAUAUUUUCUUUUCCACCUAUUCUAUUUCCCCUUAGUCGUCAUUCUAGCUAAUAUACCCACAAAAUCCUCGCCGCUGUUGCACCAUUUUAUUCCAAUGUACCCACCUCACCGACAGUCAUGUGCUUCUCCAAACAUCGAUCCCACCUUACUGGUCUGACCACCAAACAUCCCUAGAUCUCCGUCGACCAUCACCCAUUUUACCCACAGCAAAUGCCUACCUUCUUUCCCCAAUCUCUCCUUCCAUUGCUCACUGCCAUCGUCACUAGUCCUUAUUGUUCAUGCACCCACCACCCUAAGUCAGCCCCCCGAAUCGUGUCCCCAUUCAUCUCCACCACUCCUAACGCAGCUGACCAGAACCCCCAUCUCUGCCUCCAUUUUCGCUCGUUCUCCUUAACCAUCGUCUGAUCUACCCAUGACGACCAUUCCACUACCAUUGUAGCCCUCACCGGUUGCGCCUCCAUGAACCACCGCCACUGCCCCCCAUAACACAAUUUGGCUCCUCCUUUACUUUUAUUAUUUCUAUUAUAUUUAUUAUUUUUAUUAUUAUUUCGUAUUAUUAUACCUAUUAUUAUCAUUACUAUUAUUAUUUUAUUUAUUUAGUUUAACACUCAUGUUGUUAGAAUUAGAUAGUUAGUUGUUUUUAUUUUUGUAUCUCCUUCAAAUUUUUUUUAUUUUUAGUAUUAGUUUUAGUUUUUAUAUUAAGAAUAGAUAAUUUGUGUGAUCUGGCUAUCGUCUUAAGAUCAAUUACGUGCUGAUUUGUUUUAUUUCACAUGUCUAUCUGUCUAUUUGCUCGAUUAAUUAUUGGUGGUGCUAAUUUUACUGCUUCUUUGAUAUUAGGUUGUUAUCCAAUAUUUCAGGUACAUAAUAACAAACACGAGAAGUAAAUCUAAGGUCGCGAUCCCGCAUUGAAAAAGCGAAAGACACUGGGUGUGACUUCGUCUUUGGCUACUUCUCCACUCGCGAGACAUUCGUGUCUCCAAUUAUUAUAGGGUCCAUAUGAGGACCAAUAUCAGCACUUAAAGGAAUGACCUUUGGGUUUGGAUCGUUGCAUAGACUGAGAGGCACUACAGGCAAUUAACUUAGCCGAUAGAGUUCGGACUGUGAUAGACAUAUCUCCGUGGGAUUGAUUUUUAUCUAUCGUGGAGCCUACUUAUUUAGGGCUCACACUGGAGUUCUGUUCAACAUUUUUCCUACAACAUGCUAUGUCAUGGUGGGAUGAGCCACACACUUUCUCUUUUAGAAUCGGGGGUAUAACAUGUUAUAUGAGCAUUUUGGGUUUCGGAGUCACCCUUGGACUUUAUUCCAAGGAGUUUAUGAGUACCCCAGAGUUCUCGACAUUAUCCCAAUAGAAGCACACUGUCUCUAAUACACAACUCCAUUCUAUUGGUCAAAGAUCACUGUCAAGAAGUACAGUACAACCCCAGUCAGUCCAAGGUAACUUGUCUACCUCCAGCAUUGCACUAAAGUCAUGCCGUUUUGGCUCACACACUGGCCAGUCAAAGGGAGAGUAUGAGGGUGGUUGGCACGUAUGACGCUUACUUCCUUUGGAGUAUGAUGACGCGACACCCAAUUGAUGUUGCCUAUUUUCUGGCCCUCUAUUGUCGCCAUCAGCCCGAACGAAGUAGGAAGGGUCCUAUCUGUUUGGGCCUUUAUGUGACUUGAUUGGUGAGACAUUUUGGACUACUUGAUACCUUGAAGUAGACUUCAUCAUUCACGUUAGUUGGACAAAUAAUCCCGUAGGGAUUAUGCAUUAUGAGGAUGAUUUAGUGCCUACACGAACGGGUCUUCGUUGAUACACCCUAUCUCAUUCAAAUCCUCAAGAUGAGCACAAGCUUUCAGACAAUGAUCUUCCUCAGCACGAGGAUGCAACUUCUUGUCCUCCUCCUACGAGUCAUCCUACUACUUUGCAUUUCGCUCCAUGCAACAAUAUUUCUAAGCAGUUUGACCGCUUUGAGUUAUGAUACUUUGAUCGGAUUGACCUUUUCGAGCAGCAAAAAUUAGAGCGGAUAGAUCACAUUAAGGUGUAUCUACAGCGAAUUUGCUAGCAUUUACAUAUCUCUCCUCUCGAUCAUGUGCCUUGUGAUCCCAACACCUCGCAUGACACCGUUCAUUGACCUGAUUUAAUUUUCUGUUUUAUUUAUUUUUAUUAUGAACUUUAUCUUUUCUUGUUUUAUUAGUUGUUUUCUUUUAAUUUUAUUAUCUCCUUAUCUUAUUUAUUUAUUUUGUCUAUUUUCUUAUUAGUUUGUUUGGAAAAAUGUACUUCAUUUAGAAUUGCCCAUAAUUCCGAUUUUCCCUAUUCCGAC
rnacentral:lncRNA from 1 species